rnacentral:lncRNA from 1 species
AGCCGAACAAUGAAAACCCUUUCGACCAACUCAGCUAUAAUAUAUAUGAGCAAUGGCAACGAUCUACUGGGGAACCGGGAGGGCAUGAGGGAAGGCACUUUUGGAUGCCGACAUGGUCUGCAAUUUGCAGUCAACGGAGAUGAAUUGGGAAGAAUUGGCAUCGUCUUCUUCAAGAGAAAUCAUGUUGAUUAGUUGCAGCAAAACCUUCUCUAGCUCUUCACCAUCGGUCCAUUCAUAGAUCUCAGCCUUGAUCAACAUUGGGUUCCUGCAAAUUAAAUCCCAAACUGGAUAAUUCUUCCUUGGCAUCAUGUAGUCUGCCUCUCCAAGCUUUAAGCCUGGGCAGUAAUCUCC